GAUGAACGCUAGCUACAGGCUUAACACAUGACAAGUCGAGGGGCAGCAUGGUCUUAGCUUGCUAAGGCCGAUGGCGACCGGCGCACGGGUGAGUAACGCGUAUCCAACCUGCCCUUACACUCUUGGACAGCCUUCUGAAAGGGAGAUUAAUACAAGAUGUUAUCAUGAGUAAGCAUUUUCGCAUGAUUAAAGGUUUACCGGUGUUAAGAUGGGGAUGCGUUCCAUUAGAUAGUAGGCGGGGUAACGGCCCACCUAGUCUUCGAUGGAUAGGGGUUCUGCGAGGAAGGUCCCCCCACAUUGGAACUGAGACACGGUCCAAACUCCUACGGGAGGCAGCAGUGAGGAAUAUUGGUCAAUGGGACGAGAGUCUGAACCAGCCAAGUAGCGUGAAGGAUGACGGCCCUAAU
rnacentral:rRNA from 1 species